rnacentral:rRNA from 1 species
CCUACGGGUGGCAGCAGUGAGGAAUAUUGGUCAAUGGGCGCGAGCCUGAACCAGCCAAGUAGCGUGAAGGAUGAAGGCCCUACGGGUUGUAAACUUCAUUUAUAAAGGAGAAAAGUGAGGCACGUGAGCCUUUUUGUAUGUACUUUAUGAAUAAGGAUCGGCUAACUCCGUGCCAGCAGCCGCGGUAAUACGGAGGAUCCGCGCGUUAUCCGGAUUUAUUGGGUUUAAAGGGAGCGUAGAUGGGUUGUUAAGUCAGUUGUGAAAGUUUGCGGCUCAACCGUAAAAUUGCAAUUGAUACUGGCAGCCUUGAGUACAGUUGCGGUAGGCGGCAUUCGUUGUGUAGCGGU